GUUACAUACAUUGAAUGACUGGCGUACUGGUUACCUCCAUCCUUUAUAACGCUUUUCUAAAUCAACGUUCUCACCGUGAUCUCAUAACAAUUAUAUUGCACCUUCUACGCAUAGGGGGAACAAGGGUGGUGGUACACUACAUAUAAUGUAGGUUCGGGACAGAGAAUCUAACCUCAUGGCCACAUGAUCAUAAAACGACCCUAUUUCCUUCAAUCGAGAAGUUGUAAGAGUGGGACUGUGAACAUGAUCUGGCGUAGUGGGUCGCUGAUGAUUCAUGUUGAAACUUCCGUUCAGAUUAUUUCAUGUUUUACCUGUGCAUUGUAUAUUUCCUCUUUGUUUAUACUGGUUUAUAUGCUGUACACGUGGAGCCCCAUAGUCGAUUAUUAUGUUAUUGAGAUUUUUUUUAGCAAAAUCUCAAUCUCUAUCUUCAUCACGACUACAGAGUAGACCAGGGUGGAGUAAACUGGAUAUCCAGUGCAUUAUUUUGUCACCCAAAAUUGGGGCUUCAGAAGCAAUGAUGUAGAUUUGAAGAUUUCCUAUCUCAGCGCCAUCACACACACAACGGUAGAGAAACGAACUUUAGCUUAUGAAAACACCUCUCUAUAGCAGACCUUCCAACAUCCUGACCGCUUUACGACUUUCUUCCACGAAAGUAGAAGUGGAAGAAUUAUCCAUCACAAAUGAGAUUGAAUGAUGCCAAUGGAUUUCCAUGAACAAUCUAUUGGAAUCGUCCAAUCCCAUUUGUGAGGUCUCCUCUCCGCCACUUGGAGCAGAUUUCGGACAAAAUCCUUGACACCAUUGGACAUACUAGACACCAAUGGACACACUGACCUUGAGUGGAAAUUCUACGAACAGUCAGGAUGCUGGAAAGUCUACUCUAUAGAAUAAUAAAUACUGGUAGACAUUACUUACAGUAAUGGAUCUACUCCUGCACAUUUUCAGGUCACAGCGAGGCUUGAUAUAGAAAUUUUCUUUGCUCUGAUUGGCUGACGAUUCAUUGCUGAGACAGGAAAAGAGUGCAGGAGUAGAACACCCGGUACUAUACUUCAGCUAUCAUAUUCUGUGUUGAAUUUAGUGCGUGUAGUUUUAUGUUCAUCUAUAGGAGCUGGUGAUCGAGGAAGAACUAAAAAGAUAGGGGAAUACAUUACGUAUGCCGGCCAUGGAUGGUAUUUCGGCCGGUAGUGUGGGACUUCCCGGUUGACCAUAUCCAGGUAUACCCACUUUACCGUCACUAGCUACUUCAGGAUCAUAGCUGCCCGUGUGUCUGACCAUAUUGUUUUUUGUCUCCUAUUGUUACGGCGAUACGUACCCUUUCUCUUUUCUUCCUCAUUCUUUAUUCUCGCCUUCUCCUUGAGAAUUGUUUAGAAAAAACCUUUUUAACGCCGUUAUUUUAUCCUAGCUUUCUAAGAUUUCUAUGAUGUUGUCUAGUCCAAAUGGUCCUACUUCCUCGACGCAGUCUAGUCUGGGCUCCUCUCAUGCAGCACACGUCAAGAUCAUUUUUUUCAGAUAAUUUGAAAAACACCCGUACCCGGUCAGUAUCUCAGUCGUGAAAUAGUCUAGGAUAGGAGGGGGUAUCCUAUCCAGUUUUUGAUUUUAGGAAUGAACCGGUAGAUCCAGCCUCCCAAGCUAGACCUUUCCCAGUUUUCCUGCCACUUAUCGAUGGCGUUGUUCUGCUCCUGGGUCUUCAUCCCGGAGACCAAUUUGUCGAUCGUAUCUUGUCGUUUAAAUAAUCUCACUCUCUUCUCCGCCGGUAGAGGUAGUGGUAGUAUUGCUACCAAGACGCAAUCGAGACCGUUCUACAUAUAUCCCCUGACUACCCUCAUUAAAGCAGUCUUCUGUGUUUAACUUCCUAUCGUUCUUGUACUUUCCCGCCUCUGGGCUUAGUAUGGGCGCUGCAUACAUCAGGGCGAAUUCCACCACUCGAUAGUAUAGUAAAUGCGGCAGGUAAGCUCCGCCGCUGAUGUUCGGUAGUAUCCGAGAAAGUGUCUCAGCUAUUUUCAUUGCCUUCGUGGUUGCUUGUGUAAGGUGUCCAAAGAACACCCGAUUGCCUCCCAUGUUUAGUCUAAGAUAUUUGACACUUCAUUGGUGGUCGAAGUUUACGACUGCCAAAUAUAACCCUGAAUCCCCGAGGCGGCUUCCUACUGGAGAUGACUUCCAGAGCUGUAGCAGUGACGACUUUCAAGGUCUCGAGGUCCAGGGCCGAGGCCACCAGAGUCACAUCAUCAGCGAAGCCAAGUAUCAUUAUAUUUUUAAACAGAGAAAUUUUCAGGAGGUCAUCAUACUGGAUAUUCCACAUAAUAGGUUCAAGUACGGAGUCCUGCGGGACAUCAUAGUCCUUGUGCCGUUGCCGUAAACUCAAUGGUUCUGCUGGCGGCGGAAGGGAAGGAGGAGCGAGGAUUGAACAGCCUCAGAAGCUAGAUCUGAAACGCAGCGUCUGGACACUGAGUAAGAAUAUCGCAGUCCAGAAACAGAAGUGGAUUGCUGCAACGGUG